rnacentral:lncRNA from 1 species
CGGGGAAUGAGGCAGCGCGUGAGUCAUGCGGGGGUGGGCGUGCGGGACGGGGCGGCAGUCCCUCGGAGGUAACCCCACUGCAGGUUCCCGAAAGAACCUCGCAAAGCGCGGAGAGUGGACUGGGUUUGAGACCUUUUGGAGAAUGAUGGAGCCUCUGACAGCACUCAGAAGAUGAGCUUCUGGUUCUUCUGUUAGGACCAUAAAUGAACUCAGAACAGAGUUGCAAGAUGGGAUGCCCAACAUGACUUGCGUGCAUGUUAGCCUAGUGAAAGGACUUGUGAAGUAAAAUAACCAUAAAUCAGCAAACCACAAUUAUGAAUCAGUGAAAUGUAACAAAAGUAGAGCUCAUGAGGAAGAAUGUCAGAGAAAAUGCUUCAUUUAUGUAAUUUCUAAGUAUUUCAAAAUGUAGUUUUUGUGCAGGUCUGCUAGACACAUACAGUUCCAGUGAUUUCUGCUUUAUCUUGUCUGCUGUUUCCUCUAGUCUUCUGGAUGUCUGAUGACCUUCAGGUUCUCUGUGGCCUGGGUGGAGCUCCCUGUCUCCAGGGAGUGUGGUGUGGUGUGCCAUGACCAAAUGAAAAUCUCCUCUUAAUACUUCUCAUUAAAAAUAUAGCUGUAGCAAUAGAAAACAGAGAUGGGAGAAAGUCUAAGGCUCAUAAUAUUUUUAAAUUUUGCCAAUUAUUUAGUCUUAUGGUGAAAAUCUUCCACACAUUAUGAGGUUUAGUCUGCUAUCCAUAUUUGUGUUAUCCUUUUCAUGGGCUGCUAAAAGGUACUUUGGAGGAAAGAAGUGAUUCCAUAGUCUAAAUGUGCACUUGAGGCCAGGAAAGUAAUUACCAAUCCCUUUUAAUAAAAAUGUGCUCUGUGUGGACAUAACCAACGUUUGAAAUCCAAGGUUGGUGCUUUGAGCCUGGCUUGACUGUUUAACUGUGGUGAACUGCACUUGUUUCUGAGUGUCAGUGUUUUGAGCUCAACCACACCUUCCUUUCUCCCACAAGCUACCUGCCUGCUGUGCUAGGAUUCACACACAGGAGUGUGCACUUUCUAUUUUAAACCUCUAAAGCUUUUCAUCAAAAAGUUAGACAACAGAAUUCUAAUUGAAAACUUAUGAUUUAGGGACCCUUUAUAGGCUAUUAUGGCCGGUAAGCUAAUAAGGAAAGAUAUGAAAGCAAACGGCAGGGCAAUUCAGUGUUAAUUUAUUUGACAUCUAUAUCUUAGGUAUGAUUUAUGAGAAUAUUUCAUAGUACAAUUAUCUUAUUGCAUAUCUUCAUAAAAGGAAACUGUAAUAUGAGGCAUUCAAAAUACUCUACAAAAUGGGUUGAGAAUACUAAAGAGGCAUGUAAGUUUUAAUCUUUUCAAGGGUAAGUACAUUUUAAAUUAAUCACAUAUGGAUUAAUUAGCUUUUGUUUAUGACAAUAAAAUGCUAAAUUAAAUGUAAGUAGUAGGGAGUGAUAUGAAGUUCAAAGAAAGGUAGUGACUUUACCUCUCAGUAAUAUUUUCAGUGAAGAGUUUAAUUAGAUUAUAACUUGGAGUUUUAUCACAAGGUUGACACUAUGAAUAUGCAGAAUCCAGUAAUGUCCAUGAUGCACACACAUAAGUGAGUAACACAUAUAUAUUUACAGGAUGAGAAUAUUCCUGUAAACUUUUUCCUCUGAAGGAAAACUAAUCAAACUGAAUCUGGUAUUUUGUAACAUAUUUUGCAAAGACAGAAUUAAUGUCAUUCUGUAAAACUCUUCAUUUAACUUUUGAAGAGAUUUAUGGCAAUUUUCUGUGUGACUGUGUGAUAUUUAGUUCCAGGAGGCCGAUUAAAAACAGAGGUUUGAUUUUAAUCAUGUAGUCCUUCCCUGAUCUCAUGCAAAGGAACUCUUCACUUUGUUUGAGUUGUGAUUAAUGCCUUUUGUGCAGUUACCUGAGUUACAAACCAGAAAGUGAAGAAGCUGUGGGGGAAUAGUAUCUGAAGCGCAGUGAUCUAAGUAUUAAAUAAUUGCUACUUUUAUGGAUCAUUGCUUCUCAAACAUUGUAUUAAAAUAGAUAGAAAUUACAGUACAGAAAAGAAACUCAUGGAAAUAGUACUCCUGUUAAUAUUUACUCUCCAGGUUGAUCUUUUUGUUCUGUUUUUUUUUUUUUUUUUUUUUUUUUUUUUUUUUGAGUGUUAGGAAAAAGUUACAGGUAAUCUACUGGCCAUCUUGAGUGGACCCCAAAUAUCAGCAUUUAACUCACUCUUUAAUAAAAUAAUCCAUGAAACAAUGAGAGAUUUUUAGUACUCCACCCUUCCCUGCCUGUUCAGAGCAAUCUUCUUGGCUAAUUUUACUUAAUCUCUACCUAACAAUUA